AAAAAAAAAAUUUCAUACAUUUUAAGAAAUUGCAGCUUUUGUAUCACUACCCCACUUUUCCAUGAGCGGGGUCAAAAAUGACCCCAAACAUUUCCUAUGGAAUCUCAGGGCUUAACUCUAGGAACCUUUGAUACUUAUCAACUGUGAUUGUCAGUAUACAUUUACUGUUGCACUUACACAUCUGAUGCUGCAGUCUCACCACCCAGGAGGUCAUUUUUACACAGCAACAUCAAUGGGAAGGUGAGGAGUGACAAAAGCUGCAAUCCAGCCACAGGAGAGAAGCACACAGGGCCAACAGAAGAGAAAGAGAUGUCAGAUGUGUCCAAGAAACAAAGAUCGCAAAGCCACCAAUUGCUGCUGGAAAUGCAGUAUUCCUGUGUGCAACGAUCACAGCCAGAAGCAAGUAGUUUGUAACAGCUGCACACAGUGAGAAGAGAGAAGACGUUUGUGUGUGUACAUGUCGGUGGACGGUGUUAUGGUCCCCGGACCUACUGUUUGUUCAUUCUCUGUUCGUCCUCCACAGUCAAACAGACAAACGGACACACAAUGUAUUUUGACAUUUUUUGAUUUUUGAUUGAUUGUUUUGUAAUGAAAUGUGAAUAAAAAGUAAUAAAUGAACAUGUCAAAAAUGAAA